UGACCUCAAAUCAGGUAGGACUACCCGCUGAACUUAAGCAUAUCAAUAAGCGGAGGAAAAGAAACUAACAAGGAUUCCCCUAGUAACUGCGAGUGAAGAGGGAAAAGCUCAAAUUUAAAAUCUGGCGGUCUUUGGCUGUCCGAGUUGUAAUUUAGAGAAGUG
rnacentral:rRNA from 1 species